AGGAUGAACGCUGGCGGUGUGCCUAAUACAUACAAGUCGAACGGGCUCUUCGGAGCUAGUGGCGGAACGGGUGAGUAACACGUUGGUACCUACCCCUAAGUGGGGAAUAACUGCCCGAAAGGGUGGCUAAUACCGCAUAAUCCCGCAAGGGUAAAGCAGUAAUGCGCUUAGGGAGGGGCCUGCGUCUGAUUAGCUAGUUGGUAGUGUAAUGGACUACCAAGGCGACGAUCAGUAGCUGGAUCGAGAGGUUGACCAGCCACACUGGGACUGAGACACGGCCCAGACUCCUACGGGAGGCAGCAGUAGGGAAUCUUGCGCAAUGGGCGAAAGCCUGACGCAGCCAUGCCGCGUGAAUGAUGAAGGUCUUAGGAUUGUAAAAUUCUUUCAGCGGGGACGAUAAUGACGGUACCCGCAGAAGAAGCCCCGGCUAACUUCGUGCCAGCAGCCGC
rnacentral:rRNA from 1 species